GGGUGCGGAGGCGCUGGACGUCGGGGGCUGCUACGAGCGGUUCGCGGAGCUGGGCUUCGCUUACGGCCCGGUGUUCCAGGGUCUGCGGGCCGC
rnacentral:tRNA from 1 species